ACCCCAUGAUUAGGGCAUUGCUUCAUCAACAUCUUGUAUCUCUCCCAAGCAGCAUAAAGAUGCUCAUCUGGAUGUUGUCUAAAGCUCAAAAAUUCAUCCCUAGUUU